rnacentral:rRNA from 1 species
CGGAGGGUGCAAGCGUUAAUCGGAAUUACUGGGCGUAAAGCGCACGCAGGCGGUCUGUCAAGUCGGAUGUGAAAUCCCCGGGCUCAACCUGGGAACUGCAUUCGAAACUGGCAGGCUAGAGUCUUGUAGAGGGGGGUAGAAUUCCAGGUGUAGCGGUGAAAUGCGUAGAGAUCUGGAGGAAUACCGGUGGCGAAGGCGGCCCCCUGGACAAAGACUGACGCUCAGGUGCGAAAGCGUGGGGAGCAAACAGGAUUAGAUACCCUGGUAGUCCACGCCGUAAACGAUGUCGACUUGGAGGUUGUUCCCUUGAGGAGUGGCUUCCGGAGCUAACGCGUUAAGUCGGCCGCCUGGGGAGUACGGCCGCAAGGUUA